rnacentral:rRNA from 1 species
AACCUUCUGAACUUUUCUCAAGGUUGACCUCGGAUCAGGUAGGGAUACCCGCUGAACUUAAGCAUAUCAAAGUCGGGAGGAAAAC